AGCUUUCGAGGCGUUUUCCGGCGAAUCCCCGGCGAGUUAGGAGUCAAGGUAGGUAUCAAUCUCUUCGUCUCGUCAAGUACUACAACUUUCCUUUUUGUUUCACUCAAUUUCGUUGAGUAUUGAAGAAGUUAUACUCAUUUGAAAAAUACCCAGUUUCCGGCGACCUCCGAGGCUUUCGAGGCAGUUUCCGGCCAAACCACGGAGAACUAGGUGUUGUGCAAGGUACCAUUCUCUUUGUCUCUUCAAGGGCUACAACUUUCGUUUUUGAAUCACUUGAUUUCGUUGAGAAAUGACAAAGUUAUAGCAAUUUGAAAAACUGCCCGGAAAACGGCCGCCGGAAAUACCCAGUCCGGCGACCCAAGGAAGAAGAAUGUGCUACAGUAAAAAUAAAAAAAUAAAAAAAAAAUUAUUUUAAAAAUAUGUCGACGUCCGUGACGUCGAGUAGAUCACUGUGGUAUAUUCAUAUACCUAAAUUGAACACCGUAUGAGAAAGUUAUUGAGGAUUGUUGGUUAGGUGUUCAAAUAACGUUUUAUAGUUUUCACAUUAGGUGAAAAUGUGAAUUGAUGAUCCGACCGUUGGAUCAUCACCAAACUUUGAUACGUUGUAAUACGUAAUAUUUGAGGAUUAUUGGAACUUACAGAUUGGGAAUCCGAUUUGCGGAUCUUCCGGAAUUGGAAUUGUAAGUCCAUAAUAUAAAAUGUUAACCGUCACUUAGUUUUGGAAAUUGACGGAGAUCCGACCGUUGGAUGGUAAUGAAAUUUUAGGAUGUUGUCCUAGAGGUAUAAUGUGGACCUCUGGAAGUUAUGGAUUUAAAAUCUGAGGGGUGGAUCUUCCGGAUCAAUCUACGUAGUGACGUAUUUUAUAUAAGUUAUAUAUUCUAUCGAUAUGAAUUCUGAGGUUGGAAUUGAUUAUUGUUUUAGGCGCCGAUCGUCAUGACGCCUUGGCGUAUUGUGCUAGGGAGUUGUAGGGCGAACUCCAGGUGAGUGGGCAGUUUUGUUUUCCGUAUAUAUAUAUAUAUACUUGACGUUUCCCAGAAAUUGAAUUGAAAUGAAAAUAUGUUUAAAAUGAAAUGCAUAUGAGUUAUGUGGAAAAAACGGGAAGUGAAAUACCAUGCAUAGAAUUGAUAUGAAAAAAGUAUAUAGAAAUGUGAGUUGAAAUGCCAUGCAUGAAUUAAUAUAUGAUGCAUAUGUAUGAAUUGGUGCGGUGGACGCACAAGUAAGAAUUGAUUUAUGAUGCAUAUGUAUGAAUUGGUGCGGUGGACGCACAAGUAAGAAUUGAUUUAUGAUGCAUAUGUAUGAAAUGGUGCGGUGGACGCACAGGUGAGUAUUUAAUUACUGUUAUGAUGAUGAUGAUAUAUAUUGAGCUCAAAUCCUGCACCAUGGUUUAGUGCUUAUAGUAUUCACCGCAUCGCACGCUCGCCUUGAAUCCAAGUAGAUGCUAGUCGUACAGUCCACGCGGAGUGGGUACGACAGACCAGUCGCGAGAGUGUUAGUGAGAUUCCGACUGGUGGGUGACCUUAGAUUAUGUGCACAGAUGAUUUAUGAGAAGCACUAGAGCGUAACUUGCGUGCAGAAGGCCGGACGGGUCACAGAGGUGACUCCGGUAGAGUGAUAAUGAUAGAUUUUGAGCUCUAGGUUCAACCGUACAGGGCUAUUAGAGGGCCUACGGUUGAUUACUUUCUUGCACCUGAUAUGAUUAUGUUGAUGCAUUCAUACCUUAUUACUGUUGAGAUGAUGUGGCAUGGCAUAAUUAAUAUGAGAAAUGUUGAGAUGAUGUGGCAUGGCAUAACUGAUAUGAAAAAUGUUGAAAAAGUGAAAUGAAGUAUUGAGAAUAUAUAUGUAUAUUUAUAUUUUACAUUUCUGGGAAAGUAUACAGGUUUUACGGAGAGGGGUUACAACGUUAUGAGAAAUGUUUGGAUUUGGAAAAGAAUUGUUUUACUGACCCACUCAAUUUUGGUUUUGCGCCCCUCCAGGUUCAGGAAUCACAAAGGUGUGGUGACUACGAGGAAUACGGCGGGGUUCUGACAGAUUGGACAAAAUUAGGACUCACCUUCGGGUGUAUCAACUUAUAAAUUGUAUCUUAAAGCUUCCGUACUGUGCAAAUGGUUACGUCACUCUCACGUGACGGCCAGCAUGCCCUCCUUCGGGACGGGGUGUGUCAUUGUGUGUGCCCAAAAGCUAGUUACUUAUUAGUGGACCCUUGAUGACGUCCAUUCAUUUGACUUUUAAACAUUUGGUAUUUUCAUUAAUUUAGAUUAGUCCAUUAUAACACUCAAUUAUAAAAGCGACAAGAAAACAACCAAUAUCCAACAUGGUUGAUUAAUUUCCUUUAAAAUGAAGGGUGUUUCGGCC
rnacentral:lncRNA from 1 species